AGCGGCGGACGGGUGAGUAACACGUGGGUAACCUACCUAUAAGACUGGAAUAACUUCGGGAAACCGGAGCUAAUGCCGGAUAACAUAUAGAACCGCAUGGUUCUAUAGUGAAAGAUGGUUUUGCUAUCACUUAUAGAUGGACCCGCGCCGUAUUAGCUAGUUGGUAAGGUAAUGGCUUACCAAGGCGACGAUACGUAGCCGACCUGAGAGGGUGAUCGGCCACACUGGAACUGAGACACGGUCCAGACUCCUACGGGAGGCAGCAGUAGGGAAUCUUCCGCAAUGGGCGAAAGCCUGACGGAGCAACGCCGCGUGAGUGAUGAAGGUUUUCGGAUCGUAAAACUCUGUUAUUAGGGAAGAACAAAUGCGUAAGUAACUGUGCGCAUCUUGACGGUACCUAAUCAGAAAGCCACGGCUAACUACGUGCCAGCAGCCGCGGUAAUACGUAGGUGGCAAGCGUUAUCCGGAAUUAUUGGGCGUAAAGCGCGCGUAGGCGGUUUCUUAAGUCUGAUGUG
rnacentral:rRNA from 1 species